AAGCCUCCCAGCCGCCGCCACUCACUCUCCCUUGUUUUCUCGGGAGCUUGUCCCAUCACCGCUGAUUCCCUCCUUCAUCGGGAUCCCCAUCCCACCAACGACCACAGCCGAGCGCCUCCACCUUGCUUUUAGCGCCGCCCAACCAGAUCACAGCCUCCUUCUCCUCUUGCCCAGCCACCACACCCGCAGACUCGCUGCCGCGAGCCUCCUGUCCCGAUCGCGCAAGCCUCCUCAUUCCUCCAUCCCGCGCAGGAGCUCGUUCCCGAGCUCAGCUGCGUUCACGCCCGAUUACCGCGCUUCUGGAUUCCACCGACCCCGUGCAACACGAGCUCCCUCACAUGGUGCCCUUGUGCACUGGGCUCUUCAUCAACCCCUGCAUCGCCUGCAUCAAGCCGCCGCCGCGCCAGUCGCCAAACCAAGCCGCCGGAGCGCAGGACUCUCCCGCACCUCGUCGCCGAUCGGAAUCGUGCCUCCUCCGUCGUCCCCGCGCUGCACUCCGCUGUUGCUUCCCCUGCGACCCGAGAGCGUUGCCUCCUCUGCUUCGAUGCAGGAGAACGACGGCCUCGCUCGUGCGCACCUGCAGCGCCAGCAGGACUGUGCCGAUCCGCUGUCCCAAGGCCAAGCAGCCGGCUUGCCCUGCUCCUGCCUCCCCAGAUCACCGUUGCGCAGGCGCCCUUCGGUCCCCGCGCUGCCGGCGAGCUUCAUCAGGCCCCAGGUCGCGUGGCCAUCGCACUCUUCUUCCUGCUUUUCUGUUAUGCUCCUUCCUCCCUGAUAAAUCCCUCUCCCUCUCUUUCUUCAAGUGCACAGGAAGUGCUCUGCCGUCGUUGCUGUUCGCCGGAGCACCGGUGCCCCGAAUCCGCCGUGGCGCUGUCGUCCCGAGCUCCUCCCGCAUCCUUGCCUUGUCUGUGCAGCUGCGCCGCUGCCUGCCUUCGACCCCACUGCUCGAUCCCCUGCUUCAGGACCGAGACGACGAACGCUGCCGCCGCGCGUUGACCCGCGCCUGGGUCGCGUCCAACAUGCCAAGGCCCAGCGCGCCCCUCCUGCAGCCUCCCUUCCAAUCGGGCCAAGGCCCAUGGUUCCGAUAACGUCGCGUUUGUGAGGAUCUGUUCGACUACGUCCGUUUGUCUUCUUCAUGGACUCGUUCUUCUUUCUUGCGGGAUUUCAGCUUGCAGGUGCCGAUGAUACCGGUGCAGAUGACGCAACCCAGCUCAAGUGGGAGCUCGAUGAAGACCUUUUCGUUGUUGUGUUUCGUUUCCUUUUGAUCAGUAGUGGAGCCCAGUUGGGGCGAUCGGGGAUCUAGCAUUAGGGGUGGUCUUCUUUUAUUUUGGUUCAGUAGUUCGACCUUGAUUGUAUUCUGGAUGAUGUAAUGCUAUAUUUAUGUAUUGUGUGAAGUGGCGAUUGUAAGCCAACUCUUUAUCCCUCUCUUAUUUAGUACAUGGGAUGUGUAAAGAUUACCCCUCUUGCGACAUGCCUACUAUGCGGUUAUGCCUCUAAGUCGUGCUCCGGCACGUGGGAGAUAUAGCCGCAUCGUGGGUGUUACACGAGGGCACCUGUCCAGCCCCCUCGCGAGGGACACGAGAGAGGGUACAAGUCAAACAAAGAACCGAAGGCAGAAAUAGGGGCAGAAAUCGGAGGAACAAGAUCAACAAGUGACACCGGAAAGCAAAGUUUGAAUAAAGAGGGGCAAGCUAACUGCGGAAAGCAAAUGAAAAUCCGCGUCCGGCACCUAGUCUAGUCUUCUUGCCUUCUCACCAUCGCGGAGCUUUGCUGCCACUAGUCGUGGGAGGGAGCCCCCGAGGCUCGAGGUCGGCACUCCUGAGACUCCGGGGCGUGUACAGCCCCACUCAUUAUUAUGUGAGGAUUUCACGAGCGGAGAUUCUUCACACGCACUGGGCCUUGCUUCACAGGCAUUGGCCUUGCUUCAUG
rnacentral:rRNA from 1 species